ensembl:lncRNA novel transcript, antisense to PTPN22
AAUGUUAAUGGCUUUCAGAGUCUGGCGGCGCGUUCCCAUUAUCAUCUUCCUGUGACCCUUCCUCAUUUUACACGGAGGAGGUGGUCUCCACAGUGAUUUUAAAUUUAAUAUUUCUCUCAUAACCUUUGUGAGAUAAAAGAAUCUUCAUCCUUUUAACUUUGACGAGGGAUGAAAUGAAGUUUUCCACAACAUUUGGGAAGAUUUACAAGGUAUACUCCAUUUAGGCAAAAAUAACUGUCAGGGAAUAGUCAUUGUCAAGAGCAGUUUGUAUUGCAACCCACAAAGUAAGUUUUUUUUUUAACUUUUUAUAGUAUAUUCUGGCAAUGUAGAAAUUAGUUGAGAUCCAAAUCUUACAAACCUUUUGAAGUUUAUGUUUAUGUAGAAAAGUAAAAGAAAAUAAAAAUAA